rnacentral:rRNA from 1 species
GACGAACGCUGGCGGCGUGCUUAACACAUGCAAGUCGAACGGAAAGGCCCUGCUUUUGUGGGGUGCUCGAGUGGCGAACGGGUGAGUAACACGUGAGUAACCUGCCCUUGACUUUGGGAUAACUUCAGGAAACUGGGGCUAAUACCGGAUAGGAGCUCCUGCUGCAUGGUGGGGGUUGGAAAGUUUCGGCGGUUGGGGAUGGACUCGCGGCUUAUCAGCUUGUUGGUGGGGUAGUGGCUUACCAAGGCUUUGACGGGUAGCAGGCCUGAGAGGGUGACCGGACACAUUGGGACUGAGAUAAGGCCCAGACUCGUAAGGGAGGGAGCAGUGGAGAAGAGAGCACAAUGGGCGGAAGCCUGAUGUAGCAAAGCCGCGUGCGGGAUGAGAGCCUUCGGGUUGGAAACCGAUUUCGCCUGUGACGAAGCGUGAGUGACGGUAAUGGGUAAAGAAGCACCGGCUAACUACGUG